GCAUAACGCGAAGAACCUUACCAGGUCUUGACAUCCCUCUGACCGGUCCGUAACGGGACCUUUCCUUCGGGACAGAGGAGACAGGUGGUGCAUGGUUGUCGUCAGCUCGUGUCGUGAGAUGUUGGGUUAAGUCCCGCAACGAGCGCAACCCCUAUCCUUAGUAGCCAGCAGUUCGGCUGGGCACUCUAGGGAGACUGCCAGGGAUAACCUGGAGGAAGGCGGGGAUGACGUCAAAUCAUCAUGCCCCUUAUGAUCUGGGCUACACACGUGCUACAAUGGUGACUACAAAGGGAAGCAACCCUGUGAAGGUGAGCAAAUCCCAAAAAGGUCAUCCCAGUUCGGAUUGUAGUCUGCAACUCGACUACAUGAAGAUGGAAUCGCUAGUAAUCGCGAAUCAGAAUGUCGCGGUGAAUACGUUCCC
rnacentral:rRNA from 1 species